UAGUCUGGGAAACUGCCUGAUGGAGGGGGAUAACUACUGGAAACGGUAGCUAAUACCGCAUAAUGUCGCAAGACCAAAGUGCGGGACCUUCGGGCCUCAUGCCAUCAGAUGUGCCCAGAUGGGAUUAGCUAGUAGGUGGGGUAACGGCUCACCUAGGCGACGAUCCCUAGCUGGUCUGAGAGGAUGACCAGCCACACUGGAACUGAGACACGGUCCAG
rnacentral:rRNA from 1 species